CGUAAGUAUUAGAUGGAUCUGGUUUUUGUGAAGCAAUUAAGGUAAAGCAAUUACUUGACAAUUUGCUUGGUCUCCGAUCCUUUUCAAAUUCCCAUAUAUUGAAAAGCUUCUUAAAAGUUAAAAUAUUAUUUUAAAAAAGUAUCACAAACAAUUCUAAUUAUAUACAAAAUUUUGCCCAACACUGCCUACCAGUAACAGCAGCAAUGCGAUUAUCGGAUUUUCUAAAUCCAUGACCUAAGUUCAUUUAUUACGGAGUUGUCUCGCAACUUUCCGAUAAGCGUUGACUUGUUAAAACGAAACUAUAUUUCCUACGAUCUUUGUGACUGCAUUUAAUUCAUCUACAAUAUUUCGUCAUUUUUCAAUAUGUUAGUUCAUAUGUUCACAUAUCACACAUAUAAUACAUAUAUUACAAUACUUUGAUUACAGAAGGAGGAGCAACUAAAAACUACUAACAGACCUCAGAAGCAAGGUCAAACUGGUUUGUUAUAUAUAAUAGAAACAGAAUACUGUUUUUAUGUGUAUAUAUUAUAUGUAUUACUUAGCGCUUUCACUAUCACCGUUUAAGGAAAAAGUCACUGUUCAUAGCUCAACAUUCAAAAUUUUUAAAUUUUACAUAAUGUGACAUAUUUUUACAUAUAUAGUAAUAAAAGCUGCCAAGUAGACAACGCGAUUUUUAGAAUCGCACACAUAUGUGUAACGCUGAGCUGUGAGUAGAUUGCUUCUUCUACAAACCACUUGUCACACAUAUCUAGAUAUGUAAGGUAUUGUAUUGUUACCUAUUUAACACACACGAUACUACUGAGACAAAGUCAAUAUACGAGUUUCGACGACGGACUCAAUAAGGACGGAAACCUCCAUGUUUACAUUUUUCUGUCGACCGUUCGAGAGAUUUGCGAGUGUUGUGUUACAAUGUCUCAUGUUAGACGUGUGGCUAUUUGCACAAAAUUUGAUAUUCUAUGUAUUCCAAACAAUUUUAUGUACAAUCUUUGUCAAUCGAGAAGAAAAGUUUAAAAUAAGUGAAACAAUGUGUUGCAGUGUCGGAUUAAUGAUAAUUUGGCGUUGUUAUAAUAUAUAGAAAUGGUAUCUUAAACGAAAAUAAAUAAGAUUUAUCCUAAAGAAAAUUGAAACACAAUAUACGUAGCAUACGGUCACGAACGAGAAUAUUGGCACACUGUUAAAGGGUGAAUAACUUUUUUUAAAUUGGAUUAAACGAUUUGAGCCUUUUUGAGAAGUGAGGAGGAUUAGUUUAUCAGAUGAUGUGGAAAAAGAUCUUUGAAAAAAUUGCAGUUGAUCGGAAUCGCAAAGGAAAUAGUGAAGGCUGUAUGGAGGAGUUCAACAGCUGCGAUGAUGGAAAUUUGGAGAAUGGGAAUGUAAGUUUGGAGGAGAUUACAAAAGACAUAUUUAAGACAUAUUUAACGUCAUGGUGAAGAGUAUAAUGAAAUAUGGGGGACAGAAGAAAAAAGAGAAAUAGAAGCAGUACAAGAAAGGUAUCUAAGAGCAGUAUUAGUGACUGGAGAGGUGCACACCUACAGUAGGAUAUUUAGACAAGAAACGAAGACGGAGAAAAUACUUCUGGGGUCAGGAGAAAGGUACAUAAAAUAUGGAGAUAUGAAGAAGAGAUUAGAAGAUCAGAAAACUCACUACUUGAGGAGUGCAGAAGGGUCAUUGAUAGGGAAAAAUGAAAUAACAUGAGCCAUAGAAUAGCAAGAGAGAGAUUUAAAGGAAAAUAGGAACGAGCAGAUGGGAAAUGGAAAACAGAAAUAAUCUUUCGUUUAUUACAUAUACAUGUAAGUGUGAUUUAAACUAUAUCAUGUUUAAUCUCAUUUUAAUCAGAAGAAUGUCGCAAAUGCGUGGGUAUAAGAUUAAAUUCGAGAAAAUCGAAAAUAAACAAGUUCCAUCAUCGUCUCACGGAUAAUUAGUGAUUUUUCAUAGACCAUUGAAUACAAUAGAUCAGGUUACGCUACUCAACGUCGAGCUCCGUGCUGUGUUGAAGCGAACAACAUUAGAACCGAUGACGGCCUAUCAAUUAGGAAGAAAGAAAGUAUGUACCUACGAAAGGAAGGGAAAGUCAAGAAGAUAAAGAUAACAAAGUUAGGUUCGGAUUAGGGAACGAGUGGAGGAUGAGUAAACUCCGGAUGAGGAGAAGAAGGAAUGCGGUAUAUAUGGGAAGGGGGAGGGAAUAGGAGAACACGUUAUAGCGCAAUGUGAAUAUACAACAAUGGGUGAACGAACAGAGAUUCUUAUCGAAUAAGAGGCUAAUGGAAUAGGAUGGAUGAAGAAGGUGACGGAUAAAAGAGGAUGAGUAAAUGAAUCCCAACAGGGAACAGGAGUCUAUAAUACAUUUUGGUCAACAUCGAGCGAACAGUAUAAUAUGAUUCUAAAGUCCCUGUAGAUCAUUUUACUACACGCGGAUUAUAGAUUACAUCGCAGUAAGGGAAGACGACGUAAUGUUGAAGACAAGAAGCGUGUUAGGCGUUUGGAAUUUUUUUUACUAUUGUUCAUCCUUGUCCUUAAUUACUUCGCUUUGUUGUAAUAAGUACUGAAAUAAAAUGUAUUACUACGACGUAGUAUAACCUACAAACCGAUUUAUCUCGAAAUGUGCUAAAUGUGCUCUAGACCUGUAUUACAGGUUGGUAUUCAAAUAUUGGAGAUAUAAAGAUGUUUACUGAUGCAAACUGAAUGAGACAUAAAAUGGAAUUAUGUAGGAUAUUUAGGAUGCAAUUACACGUAAUAAUAUGCAAAAGCGAUUCAAUGUAUCCCGGGAGGGUUUUGAAAUGAAAAAUAAGCGUAAUGUAAAAUGGAAAUAAGUAGAGCUUCCUUAUUCAGAACACAGCAUUUUCCAGUAACGAAUGACUUUUCCCUUUCAAAUAUGUACAUAUUUUAUUAUUGCCCGUACAAAAUGUAUUCUUUCCCUUAUUCGAUCGAAUGGAUUUUGAUUAUAAGAACUUAGUACGAAAGUAAUAUCGUUCCAUCUGUCGAGACAAUAUACGACAUAUUUAAAAACCUCAAAGCUGCAGUAGGUACAACAGAAUUGGUAAAUGUACAUGAUGCUGGGAAAAUCACAAUCGCGAAUAUUAAAAAACAAAGACAUGAUACUGAUUUCAAUUAUUUGAAGCACGUAGAUCCUUCGAGUGCUGGCAACGGUAGGAUAACCUCAAAUAUACUGAUGCAAUGAGAUGGUUUCGUUACGAUAAAGACGAUAAUAACGAUGAUUUUAUACAAAGGGAGACAGCAAACGAAAGUGUCUUCUCAUACCGAUGCAUUCGUGGUAUUCGAAAAGGAGCUUCGAACGUUCGAAGUAGAAAAAGAACGUGGCUUUAUGAAGUUCCUUAUGUUCAAUGAAUUAUGCGACUUGGCAGGCAAAAAAUUAGUAAGGUUAUAUAAUAAAUAUAAUAAAAUAUAAUAAUAUAAAAUAUACUAAAUAUAAUAAAAGGUAAUAAGGAUCCAUAAAGAUUCAAUUGAUCCUAAUUCGUAUUUGAAUAAGUGAAAUUUCAUAUGAGAAAAGUAAUUGUUCCAUUAUCCAAAUACUUCAUGAUUCGAACAGUUUCGUCUUGCUGUUCGUUCGGAUAAGGAAGGUUUCUACUUUGUAAUUAUCAACAAAUGGCUAUUCAAUUUCAAAGUUUUAGUGGACCAGAUGUUCAACACACUAAAUAAAUACUACUACUACUACUACUAUUAGUACUACUAUAUUACAGUACCUGAGUAAUAUUAAUUCUGAAAAGAGAUGGAUAGAUAUCUGGAAUAUAAUUUUUAGAAUUUCUUAACUAUAGUCCGAUAACGAUUAAAAAAGAAAGCGUGGAACAAAUAAUUUCUUCGUAAUGUUUCUGUGAACUGACUGAACGUGAUAAAUAACAAAUGAUUACUGAUAAAAAUUAUGUAUAUCAUCGUUUUUACAAUUAGUCAGUUGAUUAAUCUUUUGUUGCCAUAGUAUUACAAGAUUUAGACGUUUCUCCAACUGCAAUCAAUUACCAAACUUAAUGGGACAAGUAAUCCGUCCAGUUUAUUAAUUUCAGCAUUUGCCGCAGCGAGCGUUGCACAAUUUGAUAAGUAGAAGAUAAGAAACGUCAAAGAAGUCUCUUUCAAAGUCACUUUCAAAUUCUUCGAACUGAAUUCUUAAUUUCGUAUUAUAAAAAAUUAUUAAUUUCGUAUUUUCCUAAUAACUUUUCCCGCAUUUCCAACGAUUUCGUGUUUACUUUAAAUUUCCUAUUGGAACAAAACUCGCUUAUUUUCCAAUGCAGUAUUUUUCGAAAGAUCAGAUCCGCGAUUGGAAAUUUUUCUACCCUAAUUGCGACACAGUAUUUUCAUUUCCUGUAUAUGUCAAUUAUAUCUAAUCACAUAUUUAUGAAAUACCAAGCUUGUAAUGGGCGAAAGUAUAACGCAAGAAAAAUAAUAAAAUACAAAAAAAAAAAAAGAAAUUUUAUUCCAAGUCAAACCGACAACCUUCGAUUAACAUUCUUUUAACGAUACAUAAUUAGCUUUUAAUCAGAAGAAAUUUUUUUCAAGUUUCUCCUGGACUAUGUUAAUUUCGUUAUCGAUGAUCUGUACAAAGUGACACUCGUAUCUGGAGGGAUCUUGAAUAUCGCUUGAUACAGCCUCUGUUUCACUGAUCGUACUCGAUCAACGAAUUCCGAACAGAGAAAUUAAAGCGGCGACGAAACGAAGGCAAAUGAAAGUAGACCGUCAUCGAUUUAAAAACGACAAGAUCGAAAUCGCGCUUCCUUUCUUCGUGCAUUCGAUACAUGAAAGUAACGUGACUUCCUCAGUCGUUAAGAAAGAAAACUUUCGCGAUACGAAUAUCGGUCUGCUUGUUCCUAAAAGGAAUCUGUUUUGAAUGGUAUAUAAACCGUAUAAGCGUAUACGAUUACUGACAUUAACAUUUGGACAUUCUUUGAAACAGAAUAACAUCUUUUACAAUUCAACCAGACGACUUGUUUUUUUUAGGAAGGGAGGAUUUUAUUAAUAUAAAGAGAAGAUUGGUACUGCAAGUAUAUAUUUUUUAAAUAUGCUUGCAUUAAUAUUCGAAGUCUUCCCAUCAAAUUAGAAAAAAUUUUCUUUUUUAAUUCGAUUUAUAAUUAAAAAAUCAAGAAAUUUGUAGACGUGCUUAUCGCUGGAUAAAACGGUUCUAGGUUUGAUAAUGACAAAUAUCAAUUUCAUAAUUUCGUAUUGUACGAAGGAAAAAGAAAAGAAAGGAAGAGAAAAGAAAGAGAAGAAUAAUGUAAUCACAUGGCAAAUAAUGAAGAUUGUAAAGAAUAAAAUUGCUGCAGUUUGACUCAUCUAUGACGUUGUAAUUAACAUGCACCUUAUCAAGUGCGAAAAAAUAUUCGGAUAUUCUUCAGAGAGUGAAGUGUAUUUAUAAAAAGAAUGGCAAAUCUAAAAUUAAACUAAACUACCAUUAAGAGACAUUCAGAAAGCCAUCGUUCUAUAUAUAUAUAUAUAUAUAUAUAUAUAUAUAUAUAUAUAUAUAUAUAUAUAUAUAAUGCUAUCUUUUACAUUUCGCAUUCGUCCCCGUCACUUUUUUGUAUUUAGAGAGAUAUCUGUAUAGCCGAGCUAUUAAUAUCCAAUUUCGUAAAUGGCGAGAUCGACUAAUCGAUAUUAUAAAGCGGAGCUUCCUCGUUUACGGGUCGUGACCCCAUGUGGGGUCGUGUAACAGAAUUAUGGGACGGGGGAAAUUUUUGCAACUGCUACACACCAGAGAAAUAAAAAUGUCAAUGACCUGUCAGCAAAGGACGAAGAAGAAUUUACCAUAUUAUUAAUCGACAUGGGUAUAAAACAGAAUUUUCAACAAUUUUUAAAAUGAUCUUGAACACGCUUAUGAUAUUUUAUAUUACAUAUAUAAUAAUGUGAUUCAACAACUCUGUUUAAAUAAUAUCUGAUGCUAAGUAAAUUGGUCAAAUGUAUUAGUAUUCAGUCAUAUUAUCACAAUAAUUUACAAUACUAAUAAUGUGCUGCAAAUAUAUUAUUAAUAUUAAUGCAACUAUUCAAAUUUGUUAACGUUCGACAAAGUUAUUUGAAUAAUAUUUCAUGCUAAAUAGAUCCCGCAAAUUUAUCAGUAAUGUUUAAUACAUAGUACUAUUCAAAUUUGCUUACGUCCAACAACUCUAUUUGAAUAAUAUCUGAUGCAAUUAGUAUUUACCUACACUAUAACAAAAUCCUAUUAAUAAUAUUAAUGUACUAGUAUUAUUAGUAGUGUUAAUACCAUUAAUUAAAUUUGUUAAUGUUCAGAAAGUAUAUUUGAAAUAAUGUCUGAUAUUAAGAUAUAGAUCCCUCAAGGGGAUCAAUUAGUAUUCACCUACACUGGAAAAAAAAUCUAUUAACAAUACUAAUGCUAUCUCUCAAAUAUAUUAGUAAUGUUAAUACUAUUAUUCAAAUCUGUCUCAGAUUCAACAACUCUACUUGAAUUAUAUCUGAUACUAUAUAAAACCCUUAACUGUAUUAGUAUUCAGCUAUACUAUCACAAAAAUCUAUAUAGUUUAUAUACUAAUAAUAUUCGCCAAAUAUAUUAGUAAUAGUAAUACUAUCACUCAAAUUUUUUAACGCUAAGCAGUUCUAUUCGAAUAAUAUCUAAUAAUAAAGCAGAUCCCUCAAAUCUACUAGUUUGUAUUCAGUCAUACUAUUACAAAAAUCUAUAAUAGUAGUAAUAUCCUUCAAAUAUAUUAGUAUUCAACGUUAUUAUUAUUAUUCAAAUUUGUUAAUAAUCUGAAUAUUAAAUUCUCGCCUGAAUUAUGUAAUAAAAAUUGUAAAUGAGUAAUUAAUAAUAACAUGAAAAAAUGGCGUCUUUAUUAUCGACAGUUGUAAAAUGAAAAUAUCGAUUAACUCUGAGAAACAUUGAACAUACUCUGUUAUAUCAAAUAUUCAGCCAGAAUUUAAUUCUUUAUGCAAAAAUAAACAAGCACAUCUGUUUCACCGAUAUGCAAAUUUAAUUCUGCUCUAAUAGCUGAUAAUAAAUGAUACAAUUAUAAAUGUAACAAAGAAUUGUUUCAAAUUAAAUUUCUCUAAUUUAUUCUCGAUUAAUGUUCUAUUUGUACAGGGUGGACAAUAUAUAACUGACCAAUUUCAAAGUCCCGCCAUUCCGAGACGAUGCAUCAUCUCCUGUUCAGCUUUAACAAUCGUAUCAUAGACGUA